UGCACAAUGGGCGAAAGCCUGAUGCAGCGACGCCGCGUGAGGGAUGACGGCCUUCGGGUUGUAAACCUCUUUCAGCAGGGACGAAGCGCAAGUGACGGUACCUGCAGAAGAAGCACCGGCUAACUACGUGCCAGCAGCCGCGGUAAUACGUAGGGUGCAAGCGUUGUCCGGAAUUACUGGGCGUAAAGAGUUCGUAGGCGGUUUGUCGCGUCGUUUGUGAAAACCAGCAGCUCAACUGCUGGCUUGCAGGCGAUACGGGCAGACUUGAGUACUGCAGGGGAGACUGGAAUUCCUGGUGUAGCGGUGAAAUGCGCAGAUAUCAGGAGGAACACCGGUGGCGAAGGCGGGUCUCUGGGCAGUAACUGACGCUGAGGAACGAAAGCGUGGGUAGCGAACAGGAUUAGAUACCCUGGUAGUCCACGCCGUAAACGGUGGGCGCUAGGUGUGGGUUCCUUCCACGGAAUCCGUGCCGUAGCUAACGCAUUAAGCGCCCCGCCUGGGGAGUACGGCCGCAAGGCUA
rnacentral:rRNA from 1 species